GAUGAACGCUAGCUACAGGCUUAACACAUGCAAGUCGAGGGGCAGCAUGGUCUUAGCUUGCUAAGACUGAUGGCGACCGGCGCACGGGUGAGUAACACGUAUCCAACCUGGCCCAUACUCGGGUAUAGCCUCUCGAAAGGGAGAUUAAUACCUGAUGGUGUUUGAAUUCCGCAUGUUAUUCAAACUAAAGAUUUAUCGGUAACGGAUGGGGAUGCGUGACAUUAGAUAGUAGGCGGGGUAACGGCCCACCUAGUCUACGAUGUCUAGGGGUUCUGAGAGGAAGGUCCCCCANACUGGAACUGAGACACGGUCCAGACUCCUACGGGAGCAGCAGUGAGGAAUAUUGGUCAAUGGUCGGAAGACUGAACCAGCCAAGUAGCGUGAAGGAUGAAGGUUCUAUGGAUUGUAAAACUUCUUUUAUACGGGAAUAAAAACCUCCCAACGUGUGGGAGCUUGUAUGUACCGUAUGAAUAAGCAUCGGCUAAACUCCGUGCCAGCAGCCG
rnacentral:rRNA from 1 species